AAAAUUUUAGUUUAUAAAAAAUAAUUUAUUUACAAUAAAAAGAAUAAUAAAUUUAUGUUAAAAUUUUA
rnacentral:tRNA from 3 species